GCUCACUUUGGCAACGCAUAUACUAACACUGGAACGAUGCAGAGAAGAUGGCUUGGCCCCUGUGCAAGGAUGACAAGCAAAUUCACGAAGCGUUUCAUUAAAUA
ensembl:snRNA U6 U6 spliceosomal RNA